rnacentral:rRNA from 1 species
AUUGAACGCUGGCGGCAGGCUUAACACAUGCAAGUCGAGCGGGGUGAUGGUGCUUGCACUAUCACUUAGCGGCGGACGGGUGAGUAAUGCUUAGGAAUCUGCCUAUUAGUGGGGGGCGACAUCUCGAAAGGGAUGCUAAUACCGCAUACGUCCUACGGGAGAAAGCAGGGGAUCACUUGUGACCUUGCGCUAAUAGAUGAGCCUAAGUCGGAUUAGCUAGUUGGUGGGGUAAAGGCCUACCUAGGCGACGAUCUGUAGCGGGUCUGAGAGGAUGAUCCGCCACACUGGGACUGAGACACGGCCCAGACUCCUACGGGAGGCAGCAGUGGGGAAUAUUGGACAAUGGGGGGAACCCUGAUCCAGCCAUGCCGCGUGUGUGAAGAAGGCCUUAUGGUUGUAAAGCACUUUAAGCGAGGAGGAGGCUCUUUUGGUUAAUACCCAAGAUGAGUGGACGUUACUCGCAGAAUAAGCACCGGCUAACUCUGUGCCAGCCGCCGCGGUAA